AAUGCAUCUAGUUUAUCCCCACUGUAGAUGAUGUUAGCAGAUGGUUUUACAUAUAUCCUGUUUAUUAUUUUUAGGAAUGACCCUUCUAUUCCAAUACUUUCUAGUGUUUUUUUUUUUUUUUAAAUAUAUUUUAUUUGAUCAUUUCCAAGCAUUAUUCGUUAAAGACAUAGAUCAUUUUCUUUUCCUCCCCCCCACCCCCCAUAGCCGACGCGUAAGUCCACUGGGCAUUAGAUGUUUUCUUGAUUUGAACCCAUUGCUUUGUUGAUAGUAUUUGCACUAGAGUGUUCAUUUAGAGUCUAUCCUCUGUCAUGUCCCCUCAACCUCUGUAUUCAGGCAGUUGCUUUUUCUCGGUGUUUCCACUCUCAUAGUUUAUCCUUUGCUUAUGAAUGGUGUUUUUUUCUCCUGGAUCCCUGCAAGUUGUUCAGGGACAUUACACCGCCACUAAUGGAGAAGUCCAUUACGUUCGAUUAUACCACAGUGUAUUAGUCUCUGUGUACAAUGUUCUCCUGGUUCUGCUCCUCUCGCUCUGCAUCACUUCCUGGAGGUCGUUCCAGUCUCCAUGGAACUUCUCCACUUUAUUAUUCCUUUUAGCACAAUAGUACUCCAUCACCAACAUAUACCACAGUUUGUUCAGCCAUUCCCCAAUUGAUGGGCAUCCCCUCGUUUUCCAGUUUUGGGCCACCACAAAGAGCGCAGCUAUGAAUAUUUUUGUACAAGUCUUUGUGUCCAUUAUCUCUUUGGGGUACAGACCCAGCAGUGCUAUGGCUGGGUCAAAGGGUAGAUAUUCUUUUGUCGCCCUUUGGGCAUAGUUCCAAAUUGCCCUCCAGAAUGGUUGGAUCAGUUCACAGCUCCACCAGCAAUGAAUUAAUGUCCCUACUUUGCCACAUCCCCUCCAGCAUUCAUUACUUUCCUUUGCUGUUAUGUUAGCCAAUCUGCUAGGUGUGAGGUGAUACCUCAGAGUUGUUUUGAUUUGCAUCUCUCUGAUUAUAAGAGAUGUAGAACACUUCUUCAUGUGCUUGUUAAUAGUUUUGAUUUCUUUAUCUGAGAACUGCCUAUCCAUUUCCCUUGCCCAUUUAUCAAUUGGAGAAUGGCUUGAUUUUUUGUACAAUUGAUUUAGCUCAUUAUAAAUAUGAGUAAUUAAACCUUUGUCAGAGGUUUCUAUGAAGAUGUUUUCCCAAUUUGUUGUUUCCCUUCUGAUUUUAGUUAUAUUGGUUUUGUUUGUACAAAAGCUUUUUAGUUUGAUGUAGUCAAAAUUAUUUAUUUUA
rnacentral:lncRNA from 1 species